UGUGUGUGUGUAUGGUGUGUGUGUGUGUAUGGUGUGUGUGUGUAUGGUGUGUGUGUGUAUGGUGUGUGUGUAUGUAUGGUGUGUGUGUAUGGUGUGUGUGUGUGUGUGUGUAUGGUGUGUGUGUGUGUGUAUGGUGUGUGUGUGUGUGUAUGGUGUGUGUGUGUAUGGUGUGUGUGUGUGUAUGGUGUGUGUGUAUGGUGUGUGUGUGUGUAUGGUGUGUGUGUGUGGUGUGUGUGUGUAUGUAUGGUGUGUGUGUAUGGUGUGUGUGUGUAUGGUGUGUGUGUGUAUGUAUGGUGUGUGUGUAUGGUGUGUGUGUGU
rnacentral:lncRNA from 1 species